ensembl:lncRNA
UUUUUUUUUUCUUUUUAACCUACUGCUAAAACUGCACCAUCAUACUGUGCCAGGCUAACUCUUUUUUUUUAUGAUUUUUAAAAGACAAAACAAAGAUAGCAGGAAUGUAAGAUACUAUAAAACUAACUUAAUUUUAGAAGUCAAAAAUAAACCCCAAACUUUUUGCACUUUUAAUUUUCCUAUCACAUGCAAACAAUUAAACUUCUCUUUUCACUCCCCAGCAGAAGGACAAGAGAGUGGCCCAAUCUCUUCCAUGCACAAUAAUUUGGAAAAGAACUUAACUGGGGAACUAUACUUCUGAGGCUAACAAAAGUCAACAAUGCUGAAACCAAGUCACAGCUCCUAAAACUGAAAGUUACGUGGGAUUUGCACCUUCUGGUAUUUAAUAUCAGCAGAGCAGGAAAAUUUGUCUUUACACCCUGUGGUAAGCUACCAAGAAGGAGCCACAGAGAGCUGUUACUCGUCACAUCAAGCGCACACCGAACGUGGCUCUUGAACAAGGGACAGUUUCACCUCUGCUGAGAAAAUGAUCCAGCUCCAAGGACACGAGGAGCUGUGCCGGCAGUCAGUCUGGCUCCCAAAGGAUGGCUCCAUCCCCGCAUCCCCCAGUCUGUCACAACAGGCAGACACAGGCAGAGACACACAAGGACUUGGCCGUGUCCCCACCGGGGAGGAGAAUGUAGCAGCUAGCCCAUCUAGGUUAUAUGUUUGCCAUGCAAUACAAGUACUGCAGGAGAACUUGCACACAAAACUAUGGUUUUCACAGCCUUUAUAUUUACUUAUUCCCCCCCCACACACACAUAAAAGAAUAGAAAGGAAAGAAAACAAAACCACAGUUAUCAAUGGCACUGGGGGAGAAAGGGAAACGCUAAAGUUAAAUCUUUGCACGCAGGUAUUAAAUAAAUAAUCAUGAAUGUCCUAAUCAAAGUUUGACUAUGCUGGAAAAAGCCAACAGGUUUACAGACUUAUUUGCAUACACUGUACAAGAGCCAUAAUCUGCUGCUGGAAAAUGCACACCCAGGACAUACAAAGCAUCCUCUCCAUGGUCAAGUCUUUCCAAUCACCUCACAAAAACAAGAUUGAACUGCAGUUUGGGUUUCCCCCCCCAUAUCUAAUAAAUGAAGAAGUUACAUUUCACAAUUCUUAACAACUCAGAUACUUUCAGCACUACACAGUUACUCUAUGCACUGCCCUGGAAGCAGAUGCCUGCACGGAUCAGGCUUAGCUCACUGCCUUCACCAGAGGCUGGAGAUGAAGAUCUGCACAAGCCUCUUCCCAAAGAGGAGCUCCUUGGAGCAGCAAACAGCUCACCGCAGCCUUUGGUAUCCCAACAUUUCCUCCAAUUUGCCAUGACAGUGCAUAUCUAUCCUAAAUAUCUGCGACUAUCACGCAGCUUUGUUUUUCCAGUUUGACUGCAGUAAUUCUUUAUAGCCUUUAAGAUGAUGAAAAAUUAACGUUGAAUUCAUUACAUUUCAGAACUUGGAACACUUUUAAGUAUUUCAACUCCUCUGUCAUUCCAACGGAUGUAGCAUUAUUGAGAUAAAUGGCAAAGGGUUCUUAAGCAUCCCUAAACUGUAGACAUGAUCAAGGAUUUCUUUUUCUAAAUCAAAAAAACCCUCUCAAACCCAGUACAGGUAGUUUCAAAGUGAAUAAUGAUUUUGGGGUUCAUAUAUAUAUAUGUAUAUAUAUAUAACAUGCGUAGAAAUGAACAGUUAACUGCAUAAAUACAUUAUAUCGUGUUAUGAAUCAAAUCAAAGCAAUUGCCAAGCUGAAUAAUAAGUUAGAGAAAUGACAACUCUGGCUUUAUAUAUAUAUUUAUAAAAAUAGAUAUGAGUGUUCUCAAAGCAGUUGAUAGAGAAUGCCUACUGAGUAAGAAGUCGCCAAGGAUUAUCCGGCUAAGAAAUCAGAAGAUGAAAAGUCUUCACAGUUAUUUGAACUGCCACUUACAUUCAUUCUAAUGGCAACACUAAUAUAUUACUAAGAUGUUUACGGUAUAUAUCACAAUUGAGUUUUCCAGUGUUCACAACUUACGACUUUAAAUUUGUACACUUGCUAUUCACUAAAAAAAUUAGAAAACAAAAUAAAAUAGAGAAAACCCAAAAAGGUGUGAUUCUUACUGCUGGAAGCUACUUUUCCCUAACACUUUAUACAGAACUUUGAACCCUGGCAUGCUGAUUUUGGCAGAUUAAUGCACUGAAUUUUCCUACUUCAGUCAUUAUGGUAAUCACCUUGAAACUUAACCACUUACUACACAAUAGUGUUGCAAAUUCAGUUGGCAUACAGCUAGGCAAGACACUACCUUUCAAGCAGCUUCUCUGAACAUGAGGGGGUUUCUUUAACUCUUUACCUUUAGUUCCACUUUAAACAGUUAAAAAGUCAGUUGCUACUACAUCAGCUGUAAACAGUGAGUUCCCAGUACAUAUAAACCCUGAUUUCUAGCAUACAGCAUCCAAUACCCUACUCCAGAACACAAAUCAUAGAAUCAUAGAAUGGUUUGGAAGGGACCUUAAAGAUCAUCUAGUUCCAACCCCCUGCCACAAGGAGGCUGUCAGGAUAUAUAUACACUGACAUGCCUGUCAGCGUAUAGAAAACCCAGCCACGUCUCUGAUUUGCUAGCCAAAGAGACAGCAGUCUAACCCUGGUGGGACAGGCAG